rnacentral:pre_miRNA from 1 species
UGAUUGUCCAAACGCAAUUCUUGCGCUGCUUCCUCCUGCGACAUCCAAGGGUUGCGUGUGGACAUCUGC